ensembl:lncRNA
CAAAAUUUCCCGCCUGGGCUGCCUUGCGUCUGUUUCAAUAUAGACCCCCCCUCCCUCGGACAGUCGGGGAUGAGUGCGCUAACAUACCUGUAGGUUGCUGUUUUAAUGAGUGUUUGAUGGAAAACAAGAAUGGCGGAGUUUGCGUUCUCCAGUCGCAUGAUAGGAGCCGCCCUUUGCUUUGUUGACAGCACUGCAGACCCUCGGCCUUCUUUCUGUGAGCUUCAUGAUGUCGUCACCUGAGAUGGUUUCACCUCACAGGUGUGCCUGUCAGGGGUCAUUGGUGGAGUUUCUUGCCUUCUUAAUGAGGUUGGGACCAUCAGCAGGACAAUGAGCCCAAACACACCUCCAGACUGCGUCAGGGCUAUUUGACCAAGAAGGAGAGUGAUGGAGGCCUGGUCUCCGCACUCACCUGACCUAAACCCAGUGGAGAUGGUUUGGGAUGAGAUGGAGCGCAGAGUGAAGGCAAAAGGGCCAACAAGUGCCCAGCACCUCUGGGGACUUCAUCAAGACAGACUAUAUAUAUUUUAUAAAUAUAUAUAUCAAAUUAUUCAGCGAUGAAAGAAAUUAAUGGAUCAGCAUGUCUUUAUCCUGUCUUCCUUCUCUCACCCCAACCAAUCACAGCAGAUGGCCCCGCCCCUCCCUGAGCCUGGUUCUGUCGGAGGUUAAAAGCGAGUUUUUCCUUCCCACUGUCGCCAAAGUGCUUGCUCAUAGGGGGUCAUAUGAUUGUUG